CCUACGGGGUGCAGCAGUAGGGAAUCUUCCACAAUGGGCGAAAGCCUGAUGGAGCAACGCCGCGUGGGUGAAGAAGGUCUUCGGAUCGUAAAACCCUGUUGUUAGAGAAGAAAGUGCGUGAGAGUAACUGUUCACGUUUCGACGGUAUCUAACCAGAAAGCCACGGCUAACUACGUGCCAGCAGCCGCGGUAAUACGUAGGUGGCAAGCGUUAUCCGGAUUUAUUGGGCGUAAAGGGAACGCAGGCGGUCUUUUAAGUCUGAUGUGAAAGCCUCCGGCUUAACCGGAGUAGUGCAUUGGAAACUGGGAGACUGGAGUGCAGAAGAGGAGAGUGGAACUCCAUGUGUAGCGGUGAAAUGCGUAGAGAUAUGGAAGAACACUAGUGGCGAAAGCGGCUCUCUGGUCUGUAACUGACGCUGAGGUUCGAAAGCGUGGGUAGCAAACAGGAUUAGAUACCCUUGUAGUC
rnacentral:rRNA from 1 species